rnacentral:rRNA from 1 species
UACGAAGGGGGCGAGCGUUGUUCGGAAUUACUGGGCGUAAAGGGCGCGUAGGCGGUGUGUCAAGUCAGGCGUGAAAGCCCCGGGCUCAACCUGGGAACCGCGCUUGAGACUGGCACGCUCGAGUCCGGGGAGAGGAUGGUGGAAUUCCCAGUGUAGAGGUGAAAAUUCGUAGAUAUUGGGAAGAACACCGAUGGCGAAGGCAGGUCUCUGGGCAUUAACUGACGCUGAGGAGCGAAGAGCAUGGGGAG